AAAGAAAAAUUGACUAUUAGAAAAAUGAGAAGUUAUGGAAACUCGUCUAAUGCGUGAUCAAAAAAUGGUAAAAGAGGGCAUAAAGGCACUGGUAUCCCAUAUGCAAAUUUCUAAGAGUGGUCUUCCAUCUGCAAUUCUCAACAUUAUUACCGAUUCAAGUGAUUUAGAUGUUGCAAAUCCUACAAGUUUUAUGAAUGACAUCGGGGAUGAACGUGCUUAAAUCAACACUACUUACAAUAUGAUUCAUGUCAUGCACAAGCUAUCGGAGGAAUAUUUACUUGUUAAGUUACUAGUUGAUUAGUACUACUUAAUGAUAUUUCUUAUAUUAUGUUUUUAUUCAUUUCGUAAAUUAAGACAUCCUAUGUAGGAAUUUUUAAUUUUUAAAAUUCCAAAUAUCUAGUGCAUCAGUUCUAUGUAUUGA